rnacentral:rRNA from 1 species
UUGAUCCUGGCUCAGGACGAACGCUGGCGGCGUGCCUAACACAUGCAAGUCGAACGGAGUUGUCUUUAACACUGAGCACUUUAGAGAUAGAGUGUUAAGUGUUGAAGACAACUUAGUGGCGGACGGGUGAGUAACGCGUGGGCAACCUACCUCUAACCGGGGGAUAACACAGGGAAACUUGUGCUAAUACCGCAUAAAAUGGUAGAAGGACAUCCUUCAACGAUCAAAGGAGCAAUCCGGUGAGAGAUGGGCCCGCGUCCAAUUAGCUAGUUGGUGAUGUAACGGAUCACCAAGGCGACGAUUGGUAGCCGAACUGAGAGGUUGAUCGGCCACAUUGGGACUGAGACACGGCCCAGGACUUCCUUACGGGAGAGGGCAGCAGUGGGGAAUAUUUGCGCAUGGGGGGAACCCUGACGCAGCAACGCCGCGUGAAGGAUGAAGGUUUUCGGAUCGUAAACUUCUUUGAUGAGGGACGAAAAAAAUGACGGUACCUCAAAAACAAGCCACGGCUAACUACGUGCCAGCAGCCGCGGUAAUACGUAGGUGGCGAGCGUUGUCCGGAAUUACUGGGUGUAAAGGGCGUGUAGGCGGGGAUGUAAGUCAGAUGUGAAAUACCGAGGCUUAACUUCGGGGCUGCAUCUGAAACUAUAUUUCUUGAGUAUCGGAGAGGAAAGUGGAAUUCCCAGUGUAGCGGUGAAAUGCGUAGAUAUUGGGAGGAACACCAGUGGCGAAGGCGACUUUCUGGACGAUAACUGACGCUGAGGCGCGAAAGCGUGGGGAGCAAACAGGAUUAGAUACCCUGGUAGUCCACGCCGUAAACGAUGGAUACUAGGUGUAGGGGGUAUCGACCCCUUCUGUGCCGGAGUUAACACAAUAAGUAUCCCACCUGGGGAGUACGACCGCAAGGUUGAAACUCAAAGGAAUUGACGGGGGCCCGCACAAGCAGUGGAGUAUGUGGUUAAUUCGAAGCAACGCGAAGAACCUUACCAGGGCUUGACAUGCAGGUGAAUAGUUGUAAAAAUAUGCUAGUCUUCGGGACACUGUGCAGUGGUGCAUGGUGUCGUCAGCUCGUGUCGUGAGAAGUUGGGUUAAGUCCCCGCAACGAAGCGCAACCCUCUGUUGUUAAGUUCAUUCAUUAAGUUGGGCACUCUAACGAGACUGCCGGUGACAAAUCGGAGGAAGGUGGGGACGACGUCAAAUCAUCAUGCCCCUUAUGUCCUGGGCUACACACGUACUACAAUGGCUAUAACAGCAGGGAGCUAAGGAGUAAUCCGGAGCAAAUCCUGAAAAAUAGUCCCAGUUCGGAUUGUGGGCUGCAACCCGCCCACAUGAAGUCGGAAUUGCUAGUAAUGGCAGGUCAGCAUACUGCCGUGAAUACGUUCCCGGGCCUUGUA